GCAUCCGUAGCUCAAUUGGAUAGAGCAUUUGACUUCGGAUCAAAGGGUUGCAGGUUCAAGUCCUGCCGGAUGCACCA
rnacentral:tRNA from 1 species